ACAUGCAAGUCGAGGGGCAGCAUUUCAGUUUGCUUGCAAACUGGAGAUGGCGACCGGCGCACGGGUGAGUAACACGUAUCCGACCUGCCGAUAACUCGGGGAUAGCCUUUCGAAAGAAAGAUUAAUACCCGAUGGUAUAAUUAGACCGCAUGGUCUUGUUAUUAAAGAAUUUCGGUUAUCGAUGGGGAUGCGUUCCAUUAGGCAGUUGGUGAGGUAACGGCUCACCAAACCUUCGAUGGAUAGGGGUUCUGAGAGGAAGGUCCCCCACAUUGGAACUGAGACACGGUCCAAACUCCUACGGGAGGCAGCAGUGAGGAAUAUUGGUCAAUGGGCGCAGGCCUGAACCAGCCAAGUAGCGUGAAGGAUGACUGCCCUAUGGGUUGUAAACUUCUUUUAUAUGGGAAUAAAGUUUUCCACGUGUGGAAUUUUGUAUGUACC
rnacentral:rRNA from 1 species